rnacentral:miRNA from 1 species
CAGCUCGCCACUGGGCCACUGAUGC